ensembl:lncRNA
UGGAAAGUUAGAAUUAAAUUAUGCAUGUAAUUAACAGAGAGUCUGGCACAUGGUGAAUGCUCUAUAAAAGUAAGCCACUCACUACUGUGUUGUGUUUUUUUUAUCUUAAGUCAAUAUCAGUAUAAAAUCUCUUGGGUUGCCCCAAGACAGUCACGGUCAUCCACCUGGCUCUUGUCUUUGUGCCUUGUUAGCUUUGGGAGGGCAGAAUAAAGUCACUGAAGAAGUAGAAAAUGUGUCACACUUUGGACAUAAAGCAAGACAAGUUUAUGCCCCUCCAGGUUUUAGUUCUCCAGGAAAUAGGACAUGCCAUUUGCUACCUUUGAACAGAUUUCUUUGGUCGACACGCUACUGAGAAGACAAAGGAGCAAUAUGUAUCAAAAGACAGUGAAUUUUCAGCUAAGGCGUUUUGUGUUAAAUAAUUUUUUUCUGAACGUACUACUUGAUUUUACCAGCCAGCAGCGUGUGCAACAAAUGGUAGAUUUUUCAUAAGAUACUUUUAAAAAAAGUAAUUUGGUCCUAUAUGUUCUACUAGAAUAUCUGUAAUAUUUUCCUUCACAAGGGGGGAGCUGGCCAAUCAGCUCUCAACCACAUUUUCUCUCCCCUGUUGUGUAUUGAAUCAUCCGUUUUCUUCCCAGGGUGGUAUCGUGUAGACUAGGGCCUGGGGCGGGGCCCCCUAAACUGCACACCACCAGCUGUGAGGCCUUAAAUGACUACUUUCUCUGUUAAGAUCUCAGGUUCCUCAUGGGACAAAUGAGAAAGUUGAGCUAGUUAAAAGCUUCCUUCCUAUCAUAAAACUUUAUUCAAUUACACAUCUUCAACACUUUAAGUAACAUGUUAUGUAUUGGCUCUUUAGGGAGCAAAAUUUAUACAAAUGUGAUGAAAGUUUCCAUCCAGGCCUGGUUCAUUCAGCAGGCAAGCCUUAACAACUACAAGUGAGGCAAGGAAUGUUACUAGACUCAUGCUCCAUCCUCCUAAUCCUGUGAAAAUGUGUUUAAGUGUGUCUCUGAGGGGUGACAAAGGACAGACCUGUCUUAAACAGACCCAAAUCACUGGUGCGCCUACAACUUGGACGAGAAUGGACUUUCGCCACGUGGCAUUGACUGAUUUUCAAAGAAUACUCACUUCCUCAAUCACCCAGGGAUUUCCUCUUCUCUGUCUACUGAGGAGAAAUGAAAAAAUAUAUAAAUCUAGUCCUCUUCAUAAAAGAACAGCCAAAAGAGGCAUGGGCAGCUAUACUUCCCUGCAUGUAAAAAAGAGGCUGAUUUUUGUUUUUAAAGAAUCAGCUUCCCCUUAGAAGGAAAAGCCUUAGGGAAGCCUCUCCUUUACUGGUUGAAGCUUCUGAAAACAGCUCCUGAAAGAUGCGUCAGCCUGUCUCAGCUAGAGCCCCACAGGUGACCACCUUUCUUGAUGCCCCGACCACGCUCCCUGCUUCUAGGGUCUUGCCUGUCUGUCUACUCCUAUAAUAAUCUCAAUGAGUAGAGAUUAUGUCUUAAUUCUGCUCUCCUUGAAGCCUCCACCACAUCAUCCCUCCUCCUUAAAUAUUACAUCAGCAGGCAGCGUAAGGUAAAACCCUAACUUUUGAAAAGCUGCAGCAAAAUCCACAGAUUUGAUUCCCGAGAUAUUUGUGUCCCCAAAUGCUCUUUGCUUUCUUGGUGCAGCCCCACAGAACUGUGGCAGGGGAGGAGUUAGAACCAGCGUCUGAGCCAUCAGAGACUCUGCGAUGGCUCAAAGAAGAAAAAGAUUUGGUUAUCAUUGGAGGCAUUUGUCUGCUUGAAGGCCACCCAGAGCUGUCCCUAAGAGCCUGAAUGUCAAAACCAAUUGAAAAUGAAAAGGGGAAAAAAUACAGGAAAAUUCUAUAGUAGUGAAGGCAUCUGAAAAAGAACUUCUUCUACAUGUGAAAAUUAUCAUGUUGUAGAGAAUAUUCUGUUUAUGCAGCAUAAAUGGCCGUGUAUUCUUUACAUGCACUUUUAAACAGGUUCACCCCAAGCAAGUAAGGCGACUAUCAUCGCUUUAUAUCAGCUGCAGCAUUACUUCUUGAUGAGAUACAACUUACACUAAACCCACACCUGUUGUUUUAUUUAACUGUAUUUUUGCUAUUGAGUAUUUUCUUCUUUGGUGUAAAGUUCCUGGCGUCUCUGAGAAUUACACCUCACCAAGAAGUCCAUUAUGAUAUUCUCAUGCACAUGAAACACCUCCGUCUCUACCAACCCAGCCACCACCAUUUUUUUUCCCACGAGUUUGAAUUUGAACCCUUUCAUCCUGCGGAGUUUUUAAAAUGCUCCCUCAUGAGAAGUGAUUUCUGAGUCUGGGUGGAAGCUCCAGGUAGGCUGUGUAUCACAGACUCGGGCGGCAGAUACAGCCCUCCACAGACAGUGUGCCGAGACCACCUGGAGCAGUGAAGCAUUGCCCAGACUUCUAUGCCUACAAGAUCUUUCUGAGUUAGGGACAAAUUAUUCAUAUAGUUUUUAAAUGAAACUUAUUCAAAAAAAUUUUACUGUGUCAAAGCUG